GAGCUUGCUUAACAGCAUGUAUACUAACAUCAGAACAAUACAGAGAGAAUUAGCAUGGCCCCAGCACAAAGAUAAAAUGCAAUUUCUUCCAUAUUUUU
rnacentral:snRNA from 1 species